rnacentral:lncRNA from 1 species
AUCAGAAAAAAAAGGGUAGCAUUUGAGUGAAGUAAAUAUCCCGAUAGCAGAACAGACAUCUUCAAAUAAUUUAGAAGUUCCAGAAACAGGGGGUAGGGGCUUUUGUCAGGAGAUUGACGAAGAAUUUCAACAAAUAAUCCGAAGGAGAAGAAAUAUGAAGCAUUUUAAUAAAAAAAAUUAGUUCUAUGCGAGCAAUUCAAGACGGGGUGCUGAAUUCUAAAGAAAAACAAAAGAGGGAUAGAAUUUGGAAAAAAAGAAAAGGGCAGAGAAGAGUCUAGGAGCGAAGAAAAAAUUGUGAAUUUAUCACUGUCGGACUCAGACAUGAGCAAUAGGGGGAAGGUAAUUCUUAGGGAAGCAAAGCAGAUCUGGGAAGUAGGGAAGAAAUUGGGGUUAAGAGUUAGGAGAGAUGAAAGAGAUGUUAUCGAGGAUAUUAUGAGGCUUGAAUAUCAGUAGCAAAGGUGUCAAAGAAAUCAUAAAACUCCAAUGCAUCAACAGGUGUGUCUUUAUUCUUGAUAUUUUCUGAUUUUUGGAUUUUUUGGUUGGGUGAUAUAAGAAUUGCUUAAUGGCAUAUUUAGGGGCUGGGUGUAGAAGUUAAAGUAGCAAUGGUGAGUAGAUUAGUUAGAUUGCACAGGGCGACUGUAUGUAUGUAUGCUUUUUACAGGAGACAAAGUUAGAGGAAGUAUUAGGGGAUUUAAUUAGAAGAUUUUGGGGUGUCAAUAAUUUUGAUGUUAGGUUUGCAGUUGCAGUGGGUCGUUCGAGAGAGCUAAUGGUUAUACGAUAUUGUUCUGGGAGGUUAUAUGGUAUGGUGUCAGGCCUCUGAGAGUGGAAUUUCCAAGACCGUUUCGUUUAAUCGUUAAUAAGGGAGUUGAAAAUGCUUGCCCUUUUUAAAGGAAGCUGUUAGCAGUAAGGUGUUGAUGCUUGAGGGGGAGGAUAGAUUAAUUUGGUUUCAUGAUGCAAGGGAGAGUUUUUAGUGAGGAAUUUACUGAAUUUUUUUAUCAAAGAAGGUGUGGUGAUUUUCGUCUCACUUUUGACAAAAUUUGGUAGUUGAAGGUGCCCCUAGAGCAAGAAAUUUCUUAUGGAUGAGACUUUCUUCUAAGGAGUUUCUGAUUCGAAAAGGCGUGCUAUUUAGCCAAAUGGGAAGUAGUUGUCCUUGUGCAUCAGAGAUCCGGUGAAUGUGUGUCUGCAGCUUGCUGGUCGGUAUGGCUAAUAAGGAAUGAGUUGGUGUUUGGAAGGAAAUGGGCUAGAAUGUCCAUUUUGGUUUUUUCAUUCAAUGAUGCGGGCUUUGAUGUGGAUUAGAUCGGUAUAAGAAGAAUUAAGAGUGGAUGAGAGAUCAUGGUGGAUUUGUCCGUUUAGAAGUUGGCGAUUGAAUGGCAGGUUUUGGUGUCCUUAGAGUUUUUGGUUGGGUAAAUUUAAUGUAUGUGGUGUGGAGUUUAAGGAUGAAGUCGGGUGUGGAGGGGUGUUAAAAGACUCUGAUGGGGUGGUAAGGGCAUUGUUCUCAGGAACAGUUGCAGCGAAAUAAUCCUUUGCAGUUGAGGUGGGCACGAUUAUCAUUGUUUUCGAUGUGCUUUUUAGCGAUAGGGUGGAAAAGUAAAAGCUUUCUAAGCAUUGAGGUUAGAUCCAUUGAGGUGUUUAAUUGGGUUGAGAACAAUGGUGUUACACCGUGGCUGCUGCAUACUUUUUUCACGGAAAUGGAAAGUAGGAGGUGUAGAGUUGGUUAUGUCUCUUUCUCGAAAACGGAAAAGCAAGUUAAUAUGAUGGCCUUUGCACUGGCGUUUGUAGGUAUGGAAAAAUCUGACUUGUUUAAGGCAUGGUGGUGAAUUUUGGAGUGAGACUUAUGUUCCUUAUGGUGUGUGGUAAGCUAUUAUGUGGUUGUAUCGGGUUUUUUCUACUGGAGUUGUUUUUUUGAUUUGAGGAAUGCUCAACUGGUGGGGUUUUCAAGGUUCUAGUGGGUGUUUGCAUUCUGUUUUUGAGGUUUGUAUGUUGGUUUCAGUUGAGUUCUAGUUUUUGUAAUGAGGUGAGGGUCUCUGGUGUUGGGGUUUAAAUUGCUCUAGUAGUAUGUUAGCAUUUCUUGCAAAUGUUGAAAAUUGUAAUUCUUGACUGAGCGAAAAAAAAAGAUGCAAAAUGGACAAAAGGUAAUGGAGGAUGUUGUGCCAAAAGUUUCCUACAGGAACAAGUUAAUGGGUUUGCAAAACUCAGUGGAUCCUUUUCAAGCGUUAGAGGACUUUGAAGUACAAGAAGGCGAUGUUAAAGCAGAAGUUAUCGGUGGAAUUCCAUUGAUUAUUUUCUCUAAAAGAGUGUGUAAAUUUAUUGAAAGGAAAAUGGCCAAGAAAGUAGUCAUUAAACUUUUUAGGGAGAAAGAUUACUUUCAAUGCUAUACUAAACAUAAUUACGAUACUCUGUAAAACUAAAAGUCCUUUCCAAUUGAUGGAAAGAUUACUUUCAAUGCUAUACUGAACAUAAUUAUGAUACUCUAAAAAACUAAAAGUCCUUUCCAAUUGAUGGACCUGGAAAAUGACUACUAUUAUGUACAAUUUAAUGACGAGGAAGAUUUUAAGAAUGUGUUAACAAAAGGUCCCUGGGUGAUUUUUGGACAAUAUUUAACAAUAAUGCCUUGGUCGCCAAACUUCUCGACAGCACAAGAUAAGGUGGAAUCUCAAGUGGUCUGGGUGUGGUUACAUGGGCUAUCAAAAGGGUAUUAUUCAACCUUUAUCCUACAAGUGAUUGGCCAAACAAUUGGCCCAAUGGUCAAAAUAGAUGAUAAUACGGAGAAUGCAAGUAGGGGACGGUUUGUAUGAAUGGUUGCUUGCAUAGAUCUAAAUAAGACAUUACUUUCGAAGUUCAAAAUCAAUGGACAAACACAAAGGAUAGAUUAUGAACCCUUACCUAAUGUGUUUUUUGGUUGUGGGUCCCGAAGGAUCAAGCACCAGAGUCGAUGGAAGAAAACAUCUAUAAUGCACUAGCGCUGGAUAAACAGGAUCUACAAAGGAGAGCUACAUGCUCUGGACGCUUGUUAAACACCAAUUGCAGCAGAAAGGAAGGGAAACAAAUGCUAAUAGAGGCGAGAAUCAAGGAAAAUCUAUUGGUGGAUCUAGAUUUAAUGUGCUAAACAAGAAUCAUGGAGGAGAUGAUAUGGCUGAAUCGGUUAUGGAAAAGGAAAGAAUAACUGAAAAAGAUAAGGGAAAAUAAAAUAGGGGUAAAACGGGCUCAAAAAAAUUGACAAGCCAUAGGAAAAAUGGAGUAAAUUUAAAGGGUAAAGGAUUGGUAGGCGUUAGUGGGCUAAAAGUGGGUCUUAAAGUUUUGAAACCCAUUUUUAAUGCUAGUGGGCUACAGUUAGGGAAAGGGCAAAAAGGCUUGGAUGGUGGGUCAAAUAUGGGAUUUGACCCAUCAUCGUACCCUUUUUAUAAGACGAUUGACCCCAUUUUGAUAUAGAACUAGUGUUGGAUGCCAUUCGGAACACACCAUUCUUCUUAAGUUUCCACUCAAAAUGAACCAUAUCCGUCAACUCUACAUAGUGCUGAAGUUCAACUAUGUUAGUUAUUUCUCUGUUUAAUCUUUAAAAAAAUCUUGCCAUGGUAGCCUCUCAAUCUUCAAAAACAUUAGUUCGGAUCAUGGCUAUCUCCACCUCCUUAAAGUAAUCCUCCACGCUCUAAUUACCUUGUGUACAAUUUUGGAGUUUCUGAAACAAGUUUCACUGAUUUUAGCUAAAUCAAAACAAUGGUUUUGAAACCACAAUUUUGAGGUCAGAAAAUUAUUUUAAUAUUAUUUUUGGUGUUUACAGAAUGUGAUUGUAUAUGUGUGAAAGUUUCUUCUUCUAAUUUUUUCAUUUAAGUGGUUAAUUUGAGAAAAGGACUAAAUCGCGUAUAAUGCAAAAUAUGCAUUCUAUUUGUUAAAGUGUUUUAAUUGCUCUGAAAUUUAAAUGUGUAAAUCCUUAUGUGGUUAUUUGACCUUUGGUUUUUGAGAUGGACAAAUAUAGUCAUCCAUUAAGUGAUUUUUAAUGUUAUAAUAUAAGGUUAUUUUAGUAAUUUGUACAUUAAUGAUAAUUAAAAUAAAACAAAGUGAAAAUGAUGGCCAUUUUUAUCAUCUUUUAUGGCCGAAUGAAG